rfam:Halogeometricum borinquense DSM 11551, complete genome.
CCCGAGAACUCGGGACGAAAUGUGGAGGGCGUCGAACGCGCUCCGAAUCACAAG